rnacentral:sRNA from 1 species
CAACUCAGACUAGUGGAUCUAUGCUCCGCCUUUUUUUUUUAAGUCAAGAUGUCGCCUAUUGAGACACCGACGUGCUCACCAUGUAUGUACUUAUCAGAAACACUCAAGCACCAUGGAUGGAAUAUAUAAAGGCCCCUCUGCAUAUUAACUUGGUUAACCCUCACUUCAGGAUCAGACAACGAGGUUUUAAACAAAAACAAACAAAAAACCCAGAUCUUAGAAAUAUUGUCCUCAAAGGAGAACUGAAUGUUUGAAACCCACAUGCCUGUUUUUUCAGACCACUUGACACUCAUCAUGGUGGCUGUUUUCAGACACGCUCUUUCUUGGAGUAGAGAAAAAUCUAAGCCAGUUUCCCAUUUUCUUCAGUGGAGAAGACUGAUUGCCACAUAAUGGAAAGUCACCAGCCCCUUACUUCACAAUGCACCCAUUUGGGCUAGGGGCAUCCUGUCAUAAGCAUGUUCUAUUGCUUAACCAGACAGAGGCUGCCCACUUGACCUACAAGUAAUGAGUCUGAUCUUUAUGCACCUUUCUAACCCAUAAGACGAGCUGGAAACUACUUUCUGGAUUCUUGGAUUAAGCAGCAUAGAAUCCUGCCGAGUGACUAGACUGGCCUUGACCUGCCUCAGCCUCCUGCGUAGCUCUGAUUACAAGCAAUUACACUUGGUGUCUUCUAGUGCGAUGUAGUUGAAGAGGGGCACACGACAUGCUCAGAAGAACCCUAUCAUGUGAUCGUGUCACCUAACUGCAAGGAGAGCUAAAUGAAGUCGUUAGCUGGCCAACGAUUUGUCAUCUAAUCCUCACUCCUAUUGAAGAGCGAGGGAGUGGAUGUUAGCCAGCCAUCUGCCCACUUCAACCAUCCUUGUGUUCUGAUUUUUUUAAUCUGAUUUUUAAUACACUUUUUAAAUAUA